rnacentral:misc_RNA from 1 species
GCACGUGGGUUGUGGCGCCGUUCACCAUCGAUCGGGGCUGUGCGUGUACAGCGCUCACCAGCGUGUCAUCUCCCUCUUUUUUGCGCGCAGACAUAGCCAUACACAACCUCCGCCACCUCUCUCCCCCUUUCGACACCCGCUUACGGCGUUGCUGGCAUUGUAGUGUGACCGGGAAUCCUUGCCAUGGAGGCGCGUGCUGCUGCUCGAAGUCAACGCGACAUGCGCGUCACACAAAACCUGUCGUUACGGCGCCGCUGCAUGUUUCUCAUGGACCACGAGAUGUGGCGUGUGUGCGCCCUCGGUGACAGCGGCGAUGCUGGGCCGACCGCUGCCAGCGCUGAGCAACUGCGCUUGUCCACUCUGGCACUGCUCAGGACGCACUCCAGGCAGCUGGAGGAAGUCACAGAGGCGGGGGUGGAAGACAUCAAGGCUGCCGUGAGUGGCAUGACUACCGCACUCCUGUCUGCUCCAUCUCGAGCCUCAAGACACGCAAAGGCGUCGUCAGCACCAACCUCCACAGCAGCCGUGCCGUUAUCUUCUGCGACCCGCAGCACUGCCCGCGAGAACGUCUGCUGGGAUCGAUGGGAGGAAGCGCUGGAGACACUCCUCGCCUUCCUUGAGGAACCACGCGGCACAAGCUCCGCUCAGAGUCCGACAAGCGGCUGGAGCACGCUGAAAGGAGACGGCAACGCAGGCGGCGGCUUCUCCAUAGCAAGUUGCGAAACUGAUCUGGAGAGAGCCGUGCGCACGUUGCUAUGUGAGCUUGUUCGUCACUUCUAUGAGGCUGGGCGAGCUUACUACGCCGCGAAGAAAGACGCAGAGCGAGCGGCGGCGCAUAGCAAGCGAUCUCGUGACACACCGGCUGACGGCGGCAACACUGGUCGCUGUAAGAUGCGUGUGACGUGGAGCGUGGCCGCCCCCAUCGCCCCGCUUUUGUACGAUCUCUACACGGAGUGAAGGGGCUCUUUUCCUCGUGCACCGUGGCGGAUCAGCGGGAGGGUGAGUUUCGGAAGCGCCCCAGCACACGCACGAGAAGAGGCGGGAAUGGAGGAAUUUAAAAGCCACCUGCUAGCGUGUAUCUUUCACUCAACCUCUAUGGCUCCUUUUCUUUCGCUAGCCCAAGCCCCACCCAUCUUCUCUCGCUCUCCUGCUAGUCACGCACACCACCCGUGACCGCUGAGCCCUCUACUGAUACACACAGAUUGCAACCACCCAUAACGAAAUCGAUGGGGACGACAUCGCGCGCCAAUCGAUGUGGGGCAAGCUUACACCAAAAGCAAAAAACAUCUGCUCGUGGUCGUUUCUUUUUUGGCGAGAGAGGGGUGGGGGCAUCGCCACGAGAAGGCGUGGAAACGGGGUGAACACCGGGCACGGGGUUCACUUUCGACUCUUUCAAUGCUGGUGGCCGCAUUGGUGCCAGCGUAUUCUUAUGUAUUGCACAGCUUAGAGCCGGAGAGCCUCUUCCUGCGCGGAUGCUGCGCCUUGCACGCGCUGAGUCUGCGCGUGUGUGUGUGUGUGUGUGUUGGCAGCGGCUUUGCUCUCACUGCUGCAUCAGUGCGUCUCACUCCACAUGCACAUGCGCACGCGCCCCUCCUCUCGUCACCUCUCUCUGCUCACGUUCCCUUCAGAGACGUAGUGAGGGGGUGAGGAAGGGGAGGGGGCGCACCGUAACUCUGUGCGGACGCGCGUCUGCCUCGUCGCACGUGUUCUGUCUGCUGCGCCUGCUUCUCUUUGUAUGCCUUUUACAUGCCACCCCACCCCACCCCAUAGCCUUCGAAAAGCUGAACAACAGAUGACCGUCGCAAUCGCACCAAGGAAGCGCGUCCACAAAACACGCGCGCAAGCACCUGCCCCCGCUCAUCUCGUUUUUUUUUUUCGCCGUUGUUGCCCUUUCGCUUGGCUUCCGUGCCGCUUGAUGGUAUCAGACAUGCACAGCAGCAGGGGCAGCAGCGGGUGUGCUGGCAGUCACGCUCAUUCCCCCACCCAUCCACCCACCCGGCGCGUCACAGUAUGUGGUGGCGCACCGACGUCUUCAGGUUAAAGAGCAGCGAAGAACGCGAGGUGGAGAGCAGGCGAUGCAGCCCAAGUAUAUGCGACAGGAAGCGGUGACUAUGGGCCGGCGAGCUCGGUAAAGUGACACUCAUCGCCUCUCCCUCGCUUCCUGGUCUUGCUAAACGCAUUUAUCCACCGUGGUCACGAACGGAAACACACACACACACACACGCACGCACACCCGCGCGCGCAGCAACGGAACCCGCACACGUCCCCCAGCAAUCCUCGCUCAUGCAUCCUGAUGUAGCAAGACCUGCACUAUCCUCUUCUCUCCUCUUCUCCUUGCCCUUGAUCUUAUCGUGUCUGUCGGUGUCGCGAUCGACCACCGACACCGCACCACGUAACACAACGCCCCACCGCCAUAUCCGCCCAUCCCAG